rnacentral:lncRNA from 1 species
AAGGGGAGACCUGACACUUAGUAGUAUAGAACAAUAUCUCGAUAGCACUUCAGGAAAGGGGCGUCCAAGUAGAGAAUAGAAGUAGCAAUCGAAAUUUGGGAAGAAAAACAUACGAGAUUCGUCAAUUGGAAUUCAGUAGCAACAAAGGGGAGUUAAGGGAGGAAAAACGACGGUAAGUGGGAAGAAAAGCAAAAGAAAAUAGCAAAAAUGAUUUGGAAAAAGAGGAAAGAAGAAAAAAGGAAAAAACUCGGCAGAAAAAAUAAAGAAGCAGAAGGGAAAAACUGACAGAAAGUUGGGAGUGUGAGAGGAAGAGUGCCAAAACUUGCCACUACCCAAUUUGGGAUAAUUUGAAACUCCUUCAUCCCUUAGUUUUCUCCCUAAAUCAGUCCAACACCUCCCCCCACUGUCCACCACAAUCCCCUCAAGAAUAGAAUUCCAAACCCACUCGAACACUAUAGAAUUUCGGUCAAACUACAAC